rnacentral:tRNA from 1 species
UAGAGCGUCGUCCAAACGGCAGGACGCCGGGCUUUGAACCCGGAAACGCUGGUUCGAGCCCAGCAGUUCCAGCCA